AAGCUCUUUGGAACCUAGACUUGCUAAGGGAAUCACUUCACUUAAGGAAACGCGAAACGGUAGAUAGUGUGAAACAUUGUGGUUUUGGUUGGAAGCAUUGCCGAGACGAUGGAGCGCCAUCUGAGACCGUAGGCC